GCCGGAGUGGCGGAAUAGGCAGACGCCUGGGACUUAAAAUCCCAUGGGCCGAAAGGCCCGUGCCGGUUCGAUCCCGGCCUCCGGCACCA
rnacentral:tRNA from 1 species